UCUGCGGCUAUGCGCAAUAUAUGCAUUUAUCUAAAUACAAUUAAAAUCCCGCAUAAAUUAUUUGCUUUUUGAAACUACUACACAUGAAAAAAUGCAUGUGAAUCAUGGUGCACCCUCAUUUCGCUCAUCAUGGCUUGCUUUGUCUUCAUCUGAAAUCAGUCGGGAAAUUUCGUGCUUCAACAGACAAAAUAACUAAAACUGUUAAAUAAAUAAGGAAUUGAUUAAUAAAAACGCAAAUGUUGGUAAAAUUGAAAAGUGGGAAUGUGAUAAAACUCAUUGAUAUAAACACAGAUACCAGAGCGAAAGAUGUGCUUGAUUUCAUUUGUUCAAAAUUCGGCAUUGCGUACAAUAUCACAAUAAAAUUUCUGGACCGGGAUAAAGUUCCAAUAGAGGAAGGCCAAAUAGUAUCUACAAUUAAGCAGUUUGGAAGUUGCUCCUGUUUUUUGCUAGAAAUUUUAGACAAAGGUAAGCUAAGACAAAAUCCCAAUUAUUUGUGCUAACAUGAAGGCAAUAAGCUCUAGUUUUGAAGCUAUCGGAAAUGAAGCAUUAUUGGACUUUCUUAAGGAAGGUGAUGGUGCUCAUAUACUGGAGAAAUAAAACCAAACAAAAACAUUAAGUGAUGCCUCACGCCGAAUAUUGGUGCGUGAAGCUGUAAACUUUCUGCGCAAAGUUAUCCAUCUCGGCAACAAAAAAUAGCUCUUGCAAAAGCCAUUAUCGCCAAUUUUCCAGUUUACAAAUGCAGCGCAAGCGAGAUAGGAGGAAUUGAUCUCUUUUACAAUCCCGGGGAAAAUUCAGGAUACCUGGUUUCAAAGCUAAAAAAUUUGAAUAGAAAAAGGCGCACGAAUCUUAGCCAGAGUUCAAGUGAAUCAAAA